rnacentral:rRNA from 1 species
CUUUGGGAGCUUGCUCCCGAAGGUUAGCGGCGGACGGGUGAGUAACACGUGGGCAACCUGCCUAUAAGACUGGGAUAACUUCGGGAAACCGGAGCUAAUACCGGAUAAUUCUUUUCUACACAUGUAGAAAAGCUAAAAGACGGUUUACGCUGUCACUUAUAGAUGGGCCCGCGGCGCAUUAGCUAGUUGGUGAGGUAACGGCUCACCAAGGCCACGAUGCGUAGCCGACCUGAGAGGGUGAUCGGCCACACUGGGACUGAGACACGGCCCAGACUCCUACGGGAGGCAGCAGUAGGGAAUCUUCCGCAAUGGACGAAAGUCUGACGGAGCAACGCCGCGUGAGUGAUGAAGGUUUUCGGA